GACAUUUUCUUAUACCAUUAUUUGUAUAAAAAUGAUAUUUGAUAUUUUUAUAUGUGUACAUUGAUGUUUUGUAUAAAUAAUUGAACUUGCUUAUCUGAUAUUAUAUUUAUUUUUUUAACUUAUGUUCACUUGUUUCCUUCCUUAGUCCAAUAACUUUAGAUUUUUAUACCAACCAAUGAUACACAUUUUACAUCUAAGUUUUCCCGC
rnacentral:lncRNA from 1 species